AAAAAACUAGUUAAUAAUUAUAACAUAAGCUUGUCAAGCUUAAAUAACUAAAUAUAUUAGUAUUUUUUG
rnacentral:tRNA from 1 species